rnacentral:rRNA from 1 species
UAAGGAAUAUUGGUCAAUGGACGCAAGUCUGAACCAGCCAUGCCGCGUGAAGGAUGAAGGCCCUCUGGGUUGUAAACUUCUUUUAUCUGGGACGAAAAAAGGGGAUUCUUCCUCACUUGACGGUACCAGAGGAAUAAGCACCGGCUAACUCCGUGCCAGCAGCCGCGGUAAUACGGAGGGUGCAAGCGUUAUCCGGAUUUACUGGGUUUAAAGGGUGCGUAGGUGGGUUGGUAAGUCAGUGGUGAAAUCUUCGAGCUUAACUCGGAAACUGCCAUUGAUACUAUCAAUCUUGAAUAUCCUGGAGGUAAGCGGAAUAUGUCAUGUAGCGGUGAAAUGCUUAGAUAUGACAUAGAACACCCAUUGCGAAGGCAGCUUACUACGGGAUUAUUGACACUGAGGCACGAAAGCGUGGGGAUCAAACAGGAUUAGAUACCCUGGUAGUCCACGCCGUAAACGUUGAUUACUAGAUGUGUGCGCGUUAGCGUACGUGUCAAAGCGAAAGCGUUAAGUAAUCCACCUGGGGAGUACGAUCGCAAGAU